UACGGGGGGGGCAAGCGUUGUUCGGAAUUACUGGGCGUAAAGGGCUCGUAGGUGGCCAACUAAGUCAGACGUGAAAUCCCUCAGCUUAACUGGGGAACUGCGUCUGAUACUGAAUGGCUUGAGUUUGGGAGAGGGAUGCGGAAUUCCAGGUGUAGCGGUGAAAUGCGUAGAUAUCUGGAGGAACACCGGUGGCGAAGGCGGCUCACUGGCCCGGAACUGACGCUGAGGUGCGAAAGCGUGGGGAGCAAACAGG
rnacentral:rRNA from 1 species